UACGGAGGGGGCGAGCGUUGUUCGGAUUUACUGGGCGUAAAGGGCGCGCAGGCGGCUUAUUUUGUCAGGCGUGAAAGCCCCGGGCUUAACCUGGGAACUGCGUUUGAUACGGAUGGGCUAGAGUUCGGGAGAGGAGAGUGGAAUUCCCAGUGUAGAGGUGAAAUUCGUAGAUAUUGGGAAGAACACCGGUGGCGAAGGCGGCUCUCUGGACCGAUACUGACGCUGAGGCGCGAAAGCGAGGGGAGCAAACGGG
rnacentral:rRNA from 1 species